AAUGCACCAUUUUAUAAGUCGCUCUGGAUAAGAGCGUCUGCUAAAUGACUUAAA
rfam:Salmo salar isolate Sally breed double haploid chromosome ssa17, whole genome shotgun sequence.